rnacentral:rRNA from 1 species
GACGAACGCUGGCGGCGUGCUUCACACAUGCAAGUCGAACGGGAGUAUUGAAGAAGCUUGCUUUAGAGAUACUUUAGUGGCGGACGGGUGAGUAACGCGUGAGGAGCUGUCCGAUGCAGGGGGACAACAGUUGGAAACGACUGCUAAUACCCCAUAAGCCGAGAGGUAAAAGGAUUUAUCCGGCAAUGGAGGUACUCGCGUCCUAUCAGCUAGUAGGUGAGGUAACGGCACACCUAGGCGAAGACGGGGAGCCGGCCAGAGAGGGCGAAAGGCCACACUGGAACCGAGAUACGGUCCAGACUCCUACGGGAGGCAGCAGUGGGGGAUAGUGGGCAAUCGGGGGAACCCUGACCCAGCGACGCCGCGUGGGUGAAGAAAUCCUUCGGGAUGUAAAGCCCUGUUGUAUGGGAAGAGCGGAAGACGGUACCAUACGAGGAAGCCUCGGCAAACUACGUGCCAGCAGCCGCGGUAA